AUCGCCUUCACCACUCGGCCACAACUACCUGAUGCAGAUCUCUUUGCCCCGCUGAUCACAGUGCCUGUGCAAUGACACCUGGCUGCCGGGGAGUUUCAGGGCAAUGCUCCACUUCCAGAUUUGUAGCCGGGACUUUCACUGCACGUGUAAUGAGUCAAAGACCUCUCUGUGUUAUCUCAAGGCAUCCUGGAGGCCCUGACUAACCCUGUUCAGGAGCCGGCACUGCAGGGACAUCCUGGAACUGGGUGCAACACCGUCCCUGGCAGCUAAGAGCUGAGACAACUUCAUGUCGCUUGCAGCUUAUGGCCUAUGGAACACUGGAGAAAAAGGAGCCUCUCAGAACUGGACUCUCUGUCUGAAGGGGACAAAGCUACUCAAACCUUUUCUAGUUCAACCGUUGCUUAAAGCAAAACAAGCUACAGUCCUUCCUCUGCUGACAUUCAGAAAACAAUCUGCAUGGGCUCUGGAACACAGCAUAAAAGCCUGCUCUGCUCCAGGCUCUGCAUCUUCCUCUCUUGCUUCCCUUUCCUCUAAGAGCAAGCUUUGCCUCGCUCACCGAGAGAUGUCUUGCUUCAGACCAUGUCCCCCACGCCCCUGCGGCACCUCUGGCCCAACGCCACUUGCAAGCAGUUGCAGUGAACCCUGCAUCUCCCGCUGCGCUGACUCGACGGUGUUCAUUGAGGCCUCCCCAGUGGUGGUGACCCUGCCGGGCCCCAUCCUCACCUCUUUCCCGCAGAGCACAGCCGUGGGAUCCUCUCUGUCAGCUGCUGUUGGGAGCUCCCUCAGCACUGGCGGGGUUCCCAUCUCUUCUGGGGGCUCCCUUGGUCUCGGGGGCUCAGGCCUGUGUCUGCCUCCCCCCCGCUGCAGUCUGAACUGCUGAAGCUGGCGGAUCAUCCCCUUUGGAGCCGGAAGGAGGACGUGCACCCUGCAUGAGCAGGAGCGUGGCCACGGCUUCCAGAUGGGCUGCGUGUCCUCUUCCCACCUGGCAGGAGGGUCCUGUGCCCACUGCUCCUCACUGCUGGACGAGCCUCGCACUGCCUUCUCUGUCUCUGCUUUGCUCUGAGCCCCUAAGAGAAAGGGCUCCUUCUCUUCUGCUUUGCUGAACCUCCUACUGAGGUGGAGAGGGAUCUGGAGUCAGGGACUGCUCUUGGUGGCCUGGGAAUACCACCAGGUGAAGCAGAAUGGGAAAAGGGAAGCUCUUUCUGUGGACCUUGUCCUUUGGAAACGGGCCCUUCUCUGUGCCUCCCCAAACCCUGCAGACAUCUUCCCUGGUCUCUCUUCUGUGCCCCUGCAUUUGCUCCUUCUGAUUAAAGACUAUGUGCAGCAUAUCUGGAGUCUCGUGGUUGGUUGUUCUCCUCCUCCCUCACUUACCUGCUGUGCAAGGAGAGAUCUGCUGUCUCUCAUGACAGACAAGCAUGGACUACUGCCAUGUUUAGCUGGAGCUCCCUGAAUUGAUCGAGGAUCAAAAAUAAACAAGUUGACAAAGAGAAACAGAAAAGCCCCAGAGAAACUGAGCGAGGAAGAAGCAGUGGACAGAGUUGGAUCUGUGGCUACUGCCAGAGGUAUUGGUGGUCAAAGACGGGAAAAGGUUGCUCAGGGAGUAGAAGAUUCUCCAUCUUUGGAGAUGUCUAACGUAGAACCAGACAAGGCCAGGAAAAACGUCCCCUGCUUGACCUGGACCUGGACUUUGUGAUCUCCACCUCAGGUGUUGCGUGAUUUGGUGAGAAACUGCUGGAUGCCCCCAUGCAGG